CAGGCCAGCCUGACACGUGGUGCAAUAUUAUUACUUGUAGCACCUGGUCAUGGUACUGAUAUUGUGCACGGCAUUUAGCCAUCAGCUGUUUUGGUACUCUUGAGAAUGCCAAAGGCAGCUAAUGCAUUUGAACUUCGCUGUUCCAGAUGCAAUGACCGGUCUGUGUUUGAACAGAAAUUUGUGUAGCAAAGGGAGUAGUGCGGAGUGCGAACACAGGCAUAAGAGUUCACCUGUGCAGAUCUGACUGCAGGAUGACUGCCUAUUAUAGCUACAAACAAUUGAAAGUGAUGCAGGAAGAGAUGCUAUCAGCCAAAAUGGGGAGAGGGUCCCUUAAGAGGGAAUAUGUAUGAGGAAGUGAGAAUCUGCCUACUGAUGUGGUUAGAAGCAGCAGAGGGAAAGCGGGAUAUUUCCAAACAUGCCGCAUAACAGAAUUUUCCACAUGCAUCCCGUGAAACAAACUUCUUAGAUUUUUGUUAAAUCUCGGGAGAGCAGGAAAA